GACGAACGCUGGCGGCGUGCUUAACACAUGCAAGUCGAACGGAAAGGCCCUGCUUGCAGGGUACUCGAGUGUCGAACGGGCGAGUAACACGUGGGUGAUCUGCCCUGCACUUCGGGAUAAGCCUGGGCAACUGGGUCUAAUACCGGAUAGGAGCCAUUUUUAGUGUGAUGGUUGGAAAGUUUUUUCGGUGUAGGAUGAGCUCGCGGCCUAUCAGCUUGUUGGUGGGGUAAUGGCCUACCAAGGCGGCGACGGGUAGCCGGCCUGAGAGGGUGGACGGCAACAUUGGGACUGAGAUACGGCCCAGACUCCGACGGGAGGCAGCAGGGGGGAAUAUGGCACAAUGGGCGCAAGCCGGAUGCAGCGACGCCGCGUGGGGGAUGACGGCCUUCGGGUUGUAAACUCCUUUCGCGAGGGACGAAGCUUUUUGUGACGGUAACCAGAUAAGAAGCAACGGCUAACUACGUG
rnacentral:rRNA from 1 species